rnacentral:rRNA from 1 species
UACGGAGGGUGCAAGCGUUGUUCGGAAUCACUGGGCGUAAAGGGCGUGUAGGCGGUCCGCUAAGUCUGAUGUGAAAGCCCGGGGCUCACCCCCGGAGGGCGAUUGGAAACUGGCAGACUCGAGUCCCGGACGAGGAAGGUGGAAUUCCUGGUGUAGCGGUGAAAUGCGUAGAUAUCAGGAGGAAUACCGGUGGCGAAGGCGGCCUUCUGGACGGUGACUGACGCUGAGACGCGAAAGCGUGGGGAGCAAACAGGAUUAGAUACCCUAGUAGU